UUUCAAUGAUUGAAACCCUUUACCGCAUUCCUUGCACACCUUUUCCUGCAGAAAGCUAUUGUUGCUUGAAUCCACCAUAAACCUCCUUGUUUUCUUGGGGUUUUCUCUAAGACCAUAACCAGAUUGGACAACAGCUUCGACCUCAGAAUCUCUCUUGCUAUUACUUCCAUUAGCAGCUGCAAAAGACUUGCUUGUGUUGAGCUUCAUUUCCUCUUCUUCAACAUCAAUUGAAUUCCCAUUCCCAUUGCCAUUGAAAUGGAUCCUAAUGUGACCACCCAACGACUUGCCACAAGGAAACCUCUUGUCGCAAAACUUACAAAUGAACAAUUUUUUCUUCGGUUCCAUGAUUAAUCUAACAGCAGAAAACAAAAAAUACCCAGUAAAGAAAGCAAGAUCAGUGACUCAUACCUUUCCUAGAGCUUUGAAAUAUGCAGCAUUUUCAUGAUUGAAAGAAGACCCA
rnacentral:misc_RNA from 1 species